UACAGAGGGAGCAAGCGUUAUCCGGAAUGAUUGGGCGUAAAGCGUCUGUAGGUGGUUUAGAAAGUCUACUGUCAAAUACCAAGGCUCAACCUUGGGCAGGCAGUAGAGUACUUUUAGACUAGAGUGUGGUAGAGGUAGAGGGAAUCCCUAGCGUAACAGUGAAAUGUGUAGAUUUUAGGGAGAACACCAGCGGCGAAGGCGCUCUACUGGGCCAAGACUGACACUGAGAGACGAAAGCUAGGGGAGCGAACCGG
rnacentral:rRNA from 1 species